AUCUAUAUGAAUUUAAUUUUGGUUCUGAUUGAACGUUUUUCAGUAGUUUUAAGACAUGCAAAUCGUUGUUCCUAAGAGUUUAUCUUUAUGUUUAUAUAAAAUAAAUUAAAGAUAAAAAAUAAGAAUAAGGUGUAAAGGUGAGUAUUUUAAAUUAGAUACCUUAUAGACUCUUUAAUUGGGAGAUAAUUUUAUUUCAAAAAUUAUAACAAAAAAUUAAAAAAUUAUUAUAAUUAGAGAUACUUAUUAUAUAAUAGAAAAAAAAAGGGCAACAGCAAGUCUUCUCUAAAAAAUAAAUUAGGGUUAUAUUUAUAAAUAAUAAGGAAAGUAAAAGAUAAAUUAGCUAUUUAUUAAAAAAAGGGAAAUUUUCUGCUAUAAGAUUCGAUUUAUUUUGUUUAAAGGUAGUUGGUGGGGUAAAUGCCUACCAAGCCUACGAUCAAUAGCCAUGUUUGAUAGAACAGAUGGCCACAUUGGGAAUGAAAUGCCCCAAGUAGUGAAAACUACCAGCAGUCAAGAAUAUUAGUCAAUGCUCGCAAGAGUGAACUAGCUAACUGAAAUCACAUGAGUCAUGCUUAAUGUUGGUGAUUGUGAUAACGUAAGGGAAAAAAAUGAUAUUACCUUACUAUUAGUGUUGUCCAAAACUGGUGCCAGAAGACUCGGUAAGGCCAGAGACGCAAACGUUAGUCGUCCUAAUCAGGCGUAAAGGGUGUGUAGGCUGCUUUGAAAGUUAUAUUUUUCAUAAAGCUCUUUUAACGUAGUAUAUUAAUAAAAAUAAAAUAAAAAAUAUUAAUAUCCGUUCUAAGGUAAAAAUAGAAUUAAUUAAAGCUAGGAUCAAAUUGAGGAUAAGCCAAAUAAUACUUAGAGUAGGGAUUAAAUCCGCAGAUACUAAGGGGAAUACUAAAGGUGAAAGCUUUUUAUCUAUUAUUGAUUGACGCUGAGAAACGAAGGUGAGAAUAGGAAAUAGGAUUAGAUACCCAGAUACCUCUCACUGUCAACGAUGAAUGGUGGUUGUUAGUUUUUUUAAUUAAAACUGGUAACGAUGUUAACACGAUAACCAUUCCGCCUUGCGAGUACGGUUGCAAAACUGAAACCAAAAAAAUUAGUCGGUCUCGAAGCAAACGAAGUGAAGCAUGUUAUUUAAUACGAGAAUACGCGUAAAACCUUACCAGUUCUUGCAUAUCCAAUCCAUAAUUUUAAUUUUUAUUAAUUUUUAUUAAUAAUCAUUAAUUAAAAAGAUUGAGUAGUUUCUUUAAAUUUAAGAAACUCGUUUACAGGUGUUGCAUGGCUGUCGUAAGUCCGUGCCGUGAGAAGUGAGGUUAACUCCACUAACGGACGAAAUCCCUGUUGUUAAUUUAUACUUAACAAUUAGUGAAUUUUAUAUAUUUUCAUUUGGGGCUAAGACAAGCCGUUAUGGCCCUCAUGAACUGGGCUAUAGACGUGCCACGAAAACUUUUACAAAGUGACGCCAAAACCAAACCUCUAUACUAAUACAUUUAUAUUAGUUAAUAUUUAAUUUUAACAUUUAGAAACUAGUAAAAAUAUUUUUUUUAUUCUUUUUAAACUUGAAUUAUAUUAAAUAAUAAGGUUACAAGGAAUAGCUAAUCAUUAAAGAAAGUUAAAUAACUAAAUAUAUUAACGGAUUGCCGCCUGAAAUUCGGCGACAUGAAGAAGGAAUUUCGAGUAAUCGUUGAUCACUAGCGCAACGGUGAAGAAAGCAUUCGGGAUGAACUAACUGUCUGUCGCUGGGAAGAAGCUUAAAUUGGGGGAAACUGCCGCGAAGUUAUUAUUUUUUUAAGGUACACCUAAAUUAAUAUUAUCAGCUAUUAAAUAUUAUUAAUUAAUUAAAUUAAAUAUUUCUUUAAUUUAAAGGUAGUUUUAUGCUAAGUUUUAAUUAUAGAAGUAAUUCUAUUUUAAAGUAUUAGUCAUUUAAAUAAUAAAAAAACACCUUUCUUAAGAUAAUUAGUUUCAGUUAACCCUUUUAAGUAACAUCUCAAAAGUCAUAGCAAGGUAGCUGUACUGGAAAGUGCCGCUGGAAAAUAAAUAUA
rnacentral:ncRNA from 1 species